CAGUAGCCGCGGUAAUACGUAGGGUGCGAGCGUUAAUCGGAAUUACUGGGCGUAAAGCGUGCGUAGGUGGUGGUUUAAGUCCGUUGUGAAAGCCCUGGGCUCAACCUGGGAAUUGCAGUGGAUACUGGGUCACUAGAGUGUGGUAGAGGAUAGUGGAAUUUCCGGUGUAGCAGUGAAAUGCGUAGAGAUCGGAAGGAACAUCUGUGGCGAAGGCGACUAUCUGGGCCAACACUGACACUGAGGCACGAAAGCGUGGGGAGCAAACAGGAUUAGAUACCCCAGUAGUCCCUGUCUCUUAUAC
rnacentral:rRNA from 1 species